CUGGAAAUGAUGUACAAAGUGAGUGCUGAUUGUUUGUGAUUGUGUUAGUAUUCAUACUGUCUGAUCCAG
ensembl:snoRNA small nucleolar RNA SNORD41